rfam:Flavobacterium cauense R2A-7 FCR2A7T_1, whole genome shotgun sequence.
AAACAAGAGGAAAAAUUUGAACUGAUUGCAACCUCUGAUACUAAUCCGUUUGGUAUCAAAAAAAUGCUAAAGCAGUAACU